UUCAAAUAUACUAAUUACUAAAAGUGUUUUUGUCAACAAAUUUCUCUGCUCAUGCAUUUAAUCAAUUUAGAUAUUGAAUUUUAAUAUUACUAAGGUGACAAGGACAAAAGAAAUACAUGUCUUUCUAUUCAAAGAUUUAUUUGUUAGAUUUAGUUUUUUUUUCUUUGGAUAUCUAUACUAUUAAAAGAGUUAUUUGUUAGAAUGGUCAUAUUGUCUACCAUAAGUAGGUAAAUACUAAAUAUUUGCCUUCAUUUCCAGAUACUAUAAAGUAUCUCAAUGCAAGCAGUUCAUACGAUCACAUAUUUAUUUAAUCUAGUAAGUAACAAAAGGACACAAAAACCAAAAUAUGAAAGGUUUACUUGGAGUUGUAGUGUUUCUGUUAUUAUUUAUUACGCUAUCUUGAGCGAGCCGCGAAAGUUUAACAAGUAUUGGAUCCAAGAGAAAAGUUUCAAGAGGUCCAAACAAUAUAACAUCUCCACCUACACCAGUAAUCCCACCAGCGUUUACAAAAGAUAUUGAAAUAAAGAGAUGGGUUAUCACACCACCGCCUACUCCACCAGCUUUUGUAGCAAAUUUUGAAAUGAAAAGAAAAGUUCCAAGAGGUCCAGACAAUCAGACAUCACCACCUACCCCAGUAACUCCACCAGCUUUUUAAUGGAUAUAGAUUUUAAAAGUUCAAUAAAUUUAUAAUCACACACUUUCCAUUAUAAACUAAUGUUUGUUUAGUUAUGAUUGUUUCAAAAAAAUUAAUAAAUAAUAAUAUUUUUUUCUUCUAUACAACUGUAUGAUUCAUUUUAAAAUCUAUAAACAUUAAUUCUGAAUGUGAAAUAUAUAUUUUUGAAAAAAAAAUCCUAAUAUCAUUUUUUUUAGAAAGAAUCCUAAUAACAUUUGAUUAAUUUCUUACUUGACUUCCUGUAAAAAUCAUAAUAUUAAAAACGUUGCAGUACACACCACUAAAAACAUGUUUUCAGUGCCAAAAAAGACAAUCACGUGAAAAAACACAUCUCCUCGUUCAUGAUCCCUCAUUUAUUUUUUUAUUUAUUUUUUUGAAUUAUACAGGGGUGUCCUUGCCCCCACAGAAGUGGUCCAGACUAGUCACAUGUUACCACGUCUCGGUUGCCGGGACUCGAAACGUGGUGGCUUCACCGUAUUGGGUUUUUUACCCUCAUGAUUCAUCAUUUCUCCUGGAGUUUCAUAAUAAAUGUUUGGCAGUUAUUGAGGAAUGGUUAAAUAUAGUCUACUUUGUGCCUUUGGUUUUCUCUUGUGAUCAAAGUUUCAACAAAUACAUUCAUCUGUUUUUGUUACUCAUGGUAGACAAAUUACAAAAAAUUGCAAGAAAUUACGUUGAGUAUCAAUGAUGAAGACAUUACUUUACCCGACGAUUUAUGCGAAGAUGCAUCAGAGGAGAACAGCUAGGAGUGUCAAAACAGAUAAAAACUAAUGGGUCAAUCAAGACCAAUCCAAACCAUGAAUUUUAAUGAAUCGAAAAAUUGGGUACAAAUGGAUUAAUGGAUAAAUAAGUUAAUGGACUUAAAUGGUUUGGAUUGUAAUGGAUAAUGAGUUAUUCAUAACCAAAUCAAUAAAAAUAUAUAACAAACUUAAAUUCAAAUCAAAUAUAUAAAGAAAAAAAGUAACCAAACCAGAUUUCUAAACCAGUUUUACUACACCAAAUUUUAUUUACUUUCACAUAUGCAACAAAAUUACGAUAGACUAAAUCUCACUCAUUUACUCAUAAUUUUUUUAUGUUAACACCCAAUUUCUCAUAUAUAUAUAUGUGGGGGUUUUAAAAGUUAAUCAUAUUGUUUUGCCAAAACCAUAAAAUCAAUUUUUUGACAAAACUAAAAAUUGAUUUUUUCCAUCAAAAGCGCUAAAAACGAUUGCCUUUGGGUUCCGAACUCCAUAUGGGGAAGGGGUGAUACCCCUUGAAAGACAUAACUAACUUACAAGACUGACUCCCGUAUAUCACUGGCAGUCCCUCGUGUGUGCAUCAGACACUUUUUUGUUUGUUUCGGAGUGGUUUUUUGUCAAAAUCGUAAAAUUGUGUUUUUCACUAAAUCUGCAAAUUCAUGUAUUCCUGCAAAAAAACUGCAAAAUCAUGUUUUUACGCCAAAAUCGCAAAAUUGAGUUUUUCUACCAAAACCACAAAUUGAGCUUUCCCUCCAAACUGCAAAAUCGUGUUUUUCUGCCAUGACCAUAAAAUCGAUUUUCCCACCUAAAAUGUAAAUUGAGUUUUCUCGCCAAAAACCGCAAAUUUGUGUUUGCCAACCAAAACCGUAAAAUUGAGUUUUUCCGCAAAAUGUAAAAUUAAACUUUCCCUCUAAAACCACAAAAUCUUGUUUUCCAUCCAAAACAAUAAAAUAAAGCUUUCCGCCUUUUGAAAAAAGAACAAGCUUUCCUCCCAAAACCGCAAAUUAAGUUUUUCCGCCAAUAUCGCAAAUUUAGUUUUUCUUUCAAACCCCUAAAAUUUAGGUUUCCGGCCAAAACAGUUAAAUCGUGUUUUCUUGCUAAAAUUGUAAAAAAAAAAUUUCCGCCAAAUCUGUAAAAUUGAGUUUCCCACCAAAACAGAAAAAUCUUGUUUCUGUAAAAUUGAUUUUUUCUGCCAAAACUGCAAUAUUGUAUUUUUCCGCCACACCGUAAAAAUCUUAUUUUCCAGCCAAAACAGCAAAAUUGAGUUUUCCCGCCAUAACCGUAAAUCGUGUUUUCCAUCCAAAACCGUAAAUUGUUUUUCCCCAAAAACUGUAAAAUUGAGAUUUCUGUCAAAACCACAAAAUUGUGUUUUCUUCUAAAACCGUAAAAUUGAGUUUUCUCACCAAGAUCGCUUAAAUUUUGUUAAAUAUAUUUUCUUACUAAAAUCACAUAUUUUUUUCCUAAAAAUAAGAAAAUCGUAUUUUCCACCAAAACCAUAUAUUUGUAUUUAUUUUCAACCCUAAAUAUAAUACUUUUUACUUAAUAACGUUUAAACUAUAAAAUUAUUGUUCAUCGAUUAACCAUUUAAACAAUUAACUCAUUAACUUAAAUGAGUUGUAGAUUGAUCCAAUCCAUUUGUCAAAUGUAUUGGUUUAAUACAUGGCCCAUAUAAGUUAAAAAACCAUUUCGGUAUUUUGGUUUGGUUUACCCAUUUUGGAGGCAAAUUAAUCUCAUGACUAUAUUUGGGCACAACCCAACUAGCGGUUAUGUACAUAGUCAGAGGCUCUAAAUUAUGAGAAAUUUAUUUUAUCAAAGUUUUAAGUAAAAUUUUAUGGCCCCAAUAUUUCAGAUCUGGUUCUGAUUAAAUAUUACGAAAUCUCCAAAUUUGGCAUCCACUUCUAAUUCAGUAGUUCUAUAUUCCUUAAUGUUAUGUAGAACCGCUGGUCUACGUCAAUUAUUGGACUCAUCUGGCGGAGCAGAGCAAGUUGCUCCAUCAGAUAAUCCCUUGGAUUUUAGUCUUCCCCAAGAUCCACCAGCCAGCACAACAGACACAAAGUCAAGAUCAGAUGUAAAGCUAAGCCAACUCGCCUCGAACAUCGAUUCAGAUUCCAGCAUUCAGAAAACAGAAACUCGGUUGCCUGAUCUUCUAGACAGCACGCUCUGUGACCGCAAGCUUGCCCCUUCCUCUAAGAGAAUUGUCUACGCAUUGGUCCGAGAGAAGGCUUACGAGAAUACUUUCUUGCCUCUGCUGAGUUGAAGGAAGGUUGAUUGUGUGGACCGGAGUGUGAGCCUAUAAAGACCAUCGGUGCUAGGAUGUAUGAACUUGGAUUUAAGCUCCAAGAGUUUAAAAAUCAAAUACACUCUCUUGGCUCCAACAAACGUGUGGGUGGAUAGAUUGCUGUGAAUGGGUUACUGUGGAUGAGUUGGCUUGCAGAUGGAUGGCUGUAGAUGGGUUUGUUUGGAUAGUUCAACUGUUUUCUUCUGAUGCCUAUUAUGGAUAAGUUACCUGCUCUUCUCCGGGAAGAGUUGGAGAAUGCAUUUGAAGAUGAUCUCGAUAGCAUUUUCGACAUCACGAACUCCGGCAAUCACUUGAUCAAAAGAAACGGAGAAAUGAGACUGAACUGAGAAGGAGGAUCAAAGAGAAAUUCAGAGUGAUGAAUGAGAAGCUGAACUCUCGCGAGUUUGCUCAGAAUCUAAACCCGCCUUCGUUGCAGUAGUGACUCAGGUCAUCACGAUAUCUCUCUUUCCAAUAUAUGUAUUUUAUUAGUUGUAGGUUAAGAAACAAUCUAAGAGUGUACUUCAUGAGGGAACAUAUCUGCCUUUCAACUUUGGAUGUCCCAAAGAAAAAAAAAAGUAUCUUUACAGUUUGAGAAAAAUAACAAUUAGUCGUUUAAUAAUAUGUAUUCAAAAUU